CCGAACAAAUUAAGCAUCUCGAAAUUUCAGCUCUCGCGCUCAACUCCCUUCUUCUUCCCCUUAGAUUUCCCUGCGUCGCCCCCCUCAAAAAAAAAACCAUUCCUGCGUCAUCAAUCUAGCUUCCUCGUCGAGUCGUUGGUGGUUCUGGCCUCCUCGCCAAUCGCCGGUUCCACAUGUUUGUGUACUUUUUUUUGUCUGAGAGGAUAGUGUCCAUAUUCCCAUCAGGCCUGACCUCAGAAUUGCAGUUGGAAAUGGGGAAGGAAAUUCAAAAUUUGUCCCAGUUCCUUCAUCCUGGAUACUAAGUUUUUCAGAUAAUAAUUUUAUGGACGAAUUGGAGCUAGACACUGCAGAAAUCCUUAGAAAAGCCAGAAGAAGGAGAAAACAAAAUUGUAAAAGAUCAUUCCUUACUCAAAGAAAGUGAAGGUCUACACUCCGAGGAUUGCGCCUUAUGCGAGGAAUUUGAUGUGGUUCGUGAGCAAUGGGCUAAGUUUUUUACCAGCAAGUAUUUAUUAUUGGCUUUAGCGCGCUUGAUCGAGUUGGUUUAGUUGUUAUAGAAUAAAUUUUAUAUUAAAAUGUAUGUUUAUGUUGAAAUUGGAACAUAUAUUUAAAUGUAAUAUGUGCACUUUGGU